rnacentral:rRNA from 1 species
UACGAAGGGGGCGAGCGUUGUUCGGAAUUACUGGGCGUAAAGGGCGCGCAGGCGGCCCUUGAAGUCAGGCGUGAAAGCCCCGGGCUCAACCUGGGAGGUGCGCUUGAUACUCGAGGGCUUGAGUGCGGGAGAGGAGAGUGGAAUUCCCAGUGUAGAGGUGAAAUUCGUAGAUAUUCGCAAGAACACCAGUGGCGAAGGCGGCUCACUGGCCCGAUACUGACGCUGAGGCACGAAAGCGUGGGGAGCAAACAGG